rnacentral:misc_RNA from 1 species
GAUGAAGAACGCAGCGAAAUGCGAUAAGUAGUGUGAAUUGCAGAAUUCAGUGAAUCAUCGAAUCUUUGAACGCACAUUGCGCCCGCCAGUAUUCUGGCGGGCAUGCCUGUUCGAGCGUCAUUUCAACCCUCAGGUCCCCCUUUUCGGAGGGGGAGACACCCUGGUGUUGGGGGACGGCAUCCUGGCCCGCUGUCUCACAGUGUGCCACGCCGCCCCCGAAAUGAAUUGGCGGCCUCGUCGCGUGCCACCCCUGCGUAGUAGCACAACCUCGCAACGGGAGCCCGACGCGGCCACUGCCGUAAAACGCCCAACUUUUACCGAGUUGACCUCGAAUCAGGUAGGAAUACCCACUGAACUUAAGCAUAUCAAUAAGCGGAGGA